AAUGUUUGCUUUCGAUUCGAUAGGCACAUUCGCGGUGGAUCUCUGAGAUUUGAAUAGUUAUAAGUCGAGUUGUGAUAUUGUCAAAAAUGGCGAGUAACUGUUCAGUAAAAUAUUGCGAAAAUGAGAAUGAAAAAACAAAAGAUAGAGGGAUAAGAUAUUUUAAAUUUCCUAAAGAUCCAGAAACUGCAGCUAAGUGGGUGAAAGCCUGUAGCAAGAAGAAUAUUGACCUUAACUGCGCUCAUGUAUGUUCUGUUCACUUUCAAGAAGAUUGCUUUAUAAAAAAUCCAGAUGAUCUAAAUGUAUCUGGUGACACCAAUAUAUUCCAACUUUCAAAAUUUGCUGUUCCGACAAAAAAAUUACCAAGCAAUAAUAAUGCAAGUUGUGAGAAAGCUCAAACUGUUUUGGAUCAAUAUUUUACAUACGAUGAUGACGAACAGGAAUCCUAUUUAAAGGAUCAGGGUGAAACAAUAACUGAUUUAGGAAAACAACCUGUUGCAGACAUUAACAAAUUGGAAGACAAAUUAAAGGAUCAGGGUAUUACACUAAUUGAUUUUAAGCGCAAGAAACAUAAUAAUAGUAUUUUACAAGGCAAAAUAGAUAAUCUUGAUCCAUUACCAUCUUCUCAUAAUGUAUCUGUUUCGUUAAACAAUGCAUCAGGUUUUUCUAUCCCUUUGACAGCUUUUAAUGUUAAUCUUUGUUCAACAAAAAAAGAACAAACUAUUUCGAAGGAUCCUUAUGAUUUCAAAGAAUUGCAAGGCAUUUUAGAGGAACAGGGUACUACAAUAACCAAUUUGAGAGAAAAACAUAAUUGUAAGAUAAGUGAAUCUCAGAAUGAAAAAGGGAGUCCUGUUCAUGAAACUAAAGAUGAAGAAUUAAAAUUAAAAAACAUGUAUUUAGAAAGAGAAAUCUAUGCAUUGAAAGCUAUUAAUGCUGAAAUGAUAACCAAACAUCAGUUGUUAACAGCAGAAAAUGUAAUAUUAAAAAAAGUCGUUACUGAACAAAAAAAAUAAGUUACUUCGAUAUAAAAAUUAGUGUACAAUAUUUUAAAAAAGACAGGUCGGAUAAUCAAUGAGAUAUCAGAAACGAAUUGUAAAAUUUUCAAAAAAGAAAAUUCUGGAAAUUGAACAUCAUUGUAUUUCAUCAUUUGUACUUCAAAUCAGUCAUAUUGCCAAAUAUUAAGAAGUAUAUCAAAGAAAAUUAGUUUUAUGUAAGUAGCAAAUAUCUUUGGUUAAAAGAUUAAUUAUGACAGAUCAUCAUUUUGCUCUUUGAUCUCGUUUGUUAUUAUGACUAUGUGAUAAAUGUACAAAACUUUAAGCUGUGUUUAAUAUGUAAAAUUUUUUUUAUGCUGUAAUUAUGUUUGUAAAUACAUUAAUGAUAAGUAAUGUAUAAUUCUAUUUUUUUUUCUUAUAAAUAUCAUUACAAAAUAUUUAAUUGUGUAUCCAAGUUUUUACUAAAUUUACAAAAAAAAAAAAAUGCAUUUGUUCCUCUUAAUAUUUGCAAUUGAUUACAUAGCUUUUUGAUGAUGAAAUAUUAGAAUCUAAUAAUCCUGGUAGGAACAUAUUUAUUUCGCACAUUAAUUUAGGAUAUUAUAUUUAAUAAUACUUCGUAAUAUGAAUCGUACAGUCAUAUGCUAGAUUGGAAAGAAAAUUGAUAAGACAUCUUUAUAGACAUACACUAUACUUCCAUGCGAAACAUUAUGCUUAGAUAAGUAAACGGAAAUUCCAGCUACUGA